AUAAUUAAGCGAAAGAAAAGAAAAUAAUAAUGAUUCUUUAAGUAACGGCGAGUGAAACGAGAAUAGUUCAGUAUGGAAAACCUGGUUGAUUAAUCAAAAAGGUGUUGUACAGAAAAAGUGUCACAAGUAGCAGGGUGAUAUGCCAAGUGAUUUGGAAUAUUCUACAAUAAUGGGUGACAGUCCCGUUGUAAUAUGUCACCCUCGCUACGGAUAGUGCACUUUUAAAGAGUCGCCCUCCUUAGAAGUGGAGGGUAAAGUGGGUGGUAAAUUUCACAGAAAACUAAAUAUCGAUAGAAAACCGAUAGUAAAAAAGUACCUUGAGGGAAAUUU
rnacentral:rRNA from 1 species